CACGUAGGGCGCAAGCGUUGUCCGGAAUUAUUGGGCGUAAAGCGCGCGUAGGCGGUUACUCAAGUCGGAUGUGAAAGCCCUCGGCUUAACUGAGGAAGUGCACCCGAAACUGAGUAGCUAGAGUACCAAAGAGGGUCGCGGAAUUCCCGGUGUAGAGGUGAAAUUCGUAGAUAUCGGGAGGAACACCGGUGGCGAAGGCGGCGACCUGGGUGGAUACUGACGCUGAGGCGCGAAAGCGUGGGGAGCAAACAGG
rnacentral:rRNA from 1 species